CGGAGGAUCCAAGCGUUAUCCGGAAUCAUUGGGUUUAAAGGGUCCGUAGGCGGUUUAAUAAGUCAGUGGUGAAAGCCCAUCGCUCAACGGUGGAACGGCCAUUGAUACUGUUAAACUUGAAUUAUUAGGAAGUAACUAGAAUAUGUAGUGUAGCGGUGAAAUGCUUAGAGAUUACAUGGAAUACCAAUUGCGAAGGCAGGUUACUACUAAUGGAUUGACGCUGAUGGACGAAAGCGUGGGUAGCGAACAGGAUUAGAUACCCUGGUAGUCCACGCCGUAAACGAUGGAUACUAGCUGUUGGAAGCAAUUUCAGUGGCUAAGCGAAAGUGAUAAGUAUCCCACCUGGGGAGUACGUUCGCAAGAAUG
rnacentral:rRNA from 1 species